rnacentral:rRNA from 1 species
CCUACGGGGGGCAGCAGUAGGGAAUCUUCCACAAUGGGCGAAAGCCUGAUGGAGCAACGCCGCGUGGGUGAAGAAGGUCUUCGGAUCGUAAAACCCUGUUGUUAGAGAAGAAAGUGCGUGAGAGUAACUGUUCACGUUUCGACGGUAUCUAACCAGAAAGCCACGGCUAACUACGUGCCAGCAGCCGCGGUAAUACGUAGGUGGCAAGCGUUAUCCGGAUUUAUUGGGCGUAAAGGGAACGCAGGCGGUCUUUUAAGUCUGAUGUGAAAGCCUUCGGCUUAACCGGAGUAGUGCAUUGGAAACUGGGAGACGUGAGUGCAGAAGAGGAGAGUGGAACUCAAUGUGUAGGGGUGAAAUGCGUAGAUAUAGGGAAGAACACCAGGGGCGAAAGCGGCUCUCUGGUCUGUAACUGACGCUGAGGUUCGAAAGCGUGGGUAGCAAACAGGAUUAGAUACCCUAGUAGUC